UUGUGACGCUAACUUGUUGUUAGAAACGUUGAAGUGUGUUGGUGGGUACGCUGAAGUGCGAUGGUGGGUACGCUGAAGUGCGAUGGUCUAAUUUUGACGUUGUUUAUACUAGCUAAAUGCGACGGUCUGAAGUUGGAAUCCUAUUUGUGGAGGUGUAGUGGUUAGCGUGCUAGCCUCAUAUUUGACUGAUCUGGUUUUUAUUUCUGUUCAGGUUUA
rnacentral:lncRNA from 1 species